rnacentral:misc_RNA from 1 species
GACGGAGGGUGCUAGCGUUGUUCGGAAUCACUGGGCGUAAAGGGCGCGUAGGCGGCCCAAGGAGUCGGCUUGUGAAAGCCCGGGGCUCAACCCCGGAGGUGCAACCGAUACUCUUGGGCUGGAGGCCGGAAGAGGAGGGUGGAAUACCCAGUGUAGAGGUGAAAUUCGUAGAUAUUGGGUGGAACACCGGUGGCGAAAGCGGCUCUCUGGUCCGGACCUGACGCUGAGGUACGAAAGCAUGGGGAGCAAACAGG